AUACAUUUUAACAAUUUCAAUAUAAUGAUAAAGAAUUUAAACAAGAUCCAGCUUGAACGAAAACAAAACAGCACUAAAACAUUCAUAAUAUUUGUACAUUCAUUUUUUUUUACUUAUUUCAAGCUGAUUACUGGCGGUAGUUUUUUAAUACAAAAAUCAUUUUCAUUAUCAAACAAUAAAAAACUAUUAAUACAACAAUCAGUGAGAUAAAAGACAUUAUAAAUAUAACUUCUAAAUAAAAACAAAUGUAACAACAAUGACAACUAAUGCUCCAUAUCAAGCCAUUCAUUUGAAACAAAGAAUUAUUUUGAAUCUUGAAUAAUUUUGAAUUCUGAAACCCAACCAAAUAGGGUUAGCUAUGCAUGCAUGGCUAACUUUAAUUUGACUUAAUUAAUAUUUCAAUAUGAACUUACAAACCCCCCUUAUCCAUGCAUGUAUGGCUCACCCUCCUUAAUUAUGUUAAUUUUUCAUGUAUUACAAGAAAUAUAUAUUUUCUUUGAAUUAAUUUUACGAUAGAUUUAUUAAACCUAAAUACCAUUAAUAUAGAUAUAUGUUUUCCUACAAAAAUAGGGUGAAAAAAACCCAGGGCAAACAUUCCAAGGCAAACAUGUAAUUAGGGGUAUCAGACUUUUGCUACCUCACCUUUGCAUCUUUGAGUGCAGGUGAGACAAAAUAUUCUCAAUAAGAUGAACAUGUUUAAAAAGUUUCCAGUAGAUGAGACCACAAUUACAGUUUCGACAACUUUAGAGUACAAAUUAGACAAAAAAAUAGAAAACACUACUUUUCUAAUUUCAAACAAAUAUAAAACCCUAAUAUUGAAAUAAUUAUAUAUUUGCUAUUAUAAGUCAGUUUAGUUCAAUUUUGUUAAAAUUAGCUAAACAAAAUUGU
rnacentral:lncRNA from 1 species